rnacentral:rRNA from 1 species
AACGAACGCUGGCGGCAUGCCUAACACAUGCAAGUCGAACGAGACCUUCGGGUCUAGUGGCGCACGGGUGCGUAACGCGUGGGAACCUGCCCUUAGGUUCGGAAUAACUCCCCGAAAGGGGUGCUAAUACCGGAUAAUGUCUUCGGACCAAGGAUUUAUCGCCUUUGGAUGGGCCCGCGUUGGAUUAGCUAGUUGGUAGGGCAAAAGCCUACCAAGGCGACGAUCCAUAGCUGGUCUGAGAGGAUGAUCAGCCACACUGGGACUGAGACACGGCCCAGACUCCUACGGGAGGCAGCAGUGGGGAAUAUUGGACAAUGGGCGAAAGCCUGAUCCAGCAAUGCCGCGUGAGUGAUGAAGGCCUUAGGGUUGUAAAGCUCUUUUACCCGGGAUGAUAAUGACAGUACCGGGAGAAUAAGCUCCGGCUAACUCCGUG